rnacentral:rRNA from 1 species
CCUACGGGUGGCAGCAGUGAGGAAUAUUGGUCAAUGGGCUUACGCCUGAACCAGCUAAGUCGCGUGAGGGAAGACUGCCCUAUGGGUUGUAAACCUCUUUUGUCAGGGAGCAACGCCGGCUACGUGUAGCCGGACUGAGAGUACCUGAAGAAAAAGCAUCGGCUAACUCCGUGCCAGCAGCCGCGGUAAUACGGAGGAUGCGAGCGUUAUCCGGAUUUAUUGGGUUUAAAGGGUGCGUAGGUUGUUUUGUGAGUCAGCGGUGAAAGUUUGUGGCUCAACCAUAAAAUUGCCGUUGAAACUGGAAGACGUGAGUGUGUUUGAGGUAGGCGGAAUGCGUGGUGUAGCGGUGAAAUGCAUAGAUAUCACGCAGAACUCCGAUUGCGAAGGCAGCUUACUAAGCCAUAACUGACACUGAAGCACGAAAGCGUGGGGAUCAAACAGGAUUAGAUACCCCAGUAGUC